rnacentral:rRNA from 1 species
UGGGGGAUCUUGCGCUAAUGCGCGAAAGCGUGACGCAGCGACGCCGCGUGGGGGAUGAAGGCCUUCGGGUCGUAAACCCCUUUCGGCAGGGACGAAGGGAAACUGACGGUACCUGCAGAAGAAGUCCCGGCUAACUACGUGCCAGCAGCCGCGGUAACACGUAGGGGACGAGCGUUGUCCGGAUUCAUUGGGCGUAAAGCGCGCGUAGGCGGCUCGGAAAGUCGGGCGUGAAAUGCCGGGGCUCAACCCCGGGACUGCGUCCGAUACUUCCGAGCUGGAGGUAGGUAGGGGAGAUCGGAAUUCCUGGUGUAGCGGUGAAAUGCGCAGAUAUCAGGAGGAACACCGGUGGCGAAGGCGGAUCUCUGGGCCUUACCUGACGCUGAGGCGCGAAAGCUAGGGGAGCGAACAGGAUUAGAUACCCUGGUAGUCCUAGCCGUAAACGUUGGGUGCUAGGUGUGGGCGGACAUCGACCCCGUCCGUGCCGAAGCUAACGCAUUAAGCACCCCGCCUGGGGAGUACGGCCG